UACGGAGGAUCCGAGCGUUAUCCGGAUUUAUUGGGUUUAAAGGGAGCGUAGAUGGAUGUUUAAGUCAGUUGUGAAAGUUUGCGGCUCAACCGUAAAAUUGCAGUUGAUACUGGAUAUCUUGAGUGCAGUUGAGGCAGUCGGAAUUCGUGGUGUAGCGGUGAAAUGCUUAGAUAUCACGAAGAACUCCGAUUGCGAAGGCAGCCUGCUAAGCUGCAACUGACAUUGAGGCUCGAAAGUGUGGGUAUCAAACAGG
rnacentral:rRNA from 1 species